UACGUAGGGUACUAGCGUUGUCCGGAGUUAUUGGGCGUAAAGCGCGCGUAGGCGGCGUGGUGCGUCGCACGUGAAAGCCCGCGGCUCAACCGCGGAGGGUCGUGCGAGACGGCCGCACUGGAGGCAGGGAGAGGCUGGUGGAAUUCCCGGAGUAGUGGUGAAAUGCGUAGAGAUCGGGAGGAACACCGGUGGCGCAGGCGGCCAGCUGGCCCUGACCUGACGCUGAGGCGCGACGGCGUGGGGAGCGAACGGG
rnacentral:rRNA from 1 species